UUUUAAAAAGCUACGAUAAGACAGGGUAAAAAAUAGAAAUACCAAUUUUAAAAAAAAACACAUAACUGAAUCAGUGUAUCUUAAGAUAAAUAAUAUGGUGACGUUGCAAUUAAAUUCGUUUUCAAUCAUAUUGGUUUAUGGGUCAGCAGUAAGUUUCAGUAACUCUUUGUGAAUUAAAAAUGUUCUCAAUCGUUAGGUGAAAAAAAUUCUUAUUCGAUAGUCAAAUCCGGUGUUAUUGAUCAUUAUUCAUCUCUAAAUCUUUAUCGAUCUCCAAAAUAUUUGAAAACGUUUAAAACAACAAAUUUUGUUGAAAUCAAUUUGGUUUUCGAAAAAAAACAAAUCAACAGAAAAUACACCGAUUUUAGUUUGGAAUCUAGUUGUUUCUAGUAGGUAUAUUGACAAUAGUAAAAAGGAAAUUAGUAUAUUUUUAGAUUUAAAAAAAAUCUUUGGUCCUUCUAAUAAUAGUACGUAGUUUGAUUACAAAAUUAGAAUAUCGUGGCAUUCGUGGUAUUGCCCUACGUAUUUUGUUAUAUCAUAUAUUUCAAAUCGAUCGCAAGCAAAAUAAUUACAGAAACAAUUAUUUUUAUUAUUUUUUAGUUUAUUGGGAUGCUCUGUAUUUAUAAAAUGUACUUUGAUUCCAUAUUUAGCUCUUUCAUUAUUAUUGCAUAUUAUUGCAUAAUUGUAUUCGCUUCUUUAAAAGCUUAUAUAUGUUUAUAUGAAUAUUUUUUUUCUAAAUUAUUGUUGAACUCUCUCCCUCUCUCUAUAAAAGAAGCUUAACUGUUUAUAGAAAGAAUUGACGGAAACUCAAAAGUAACAAGUUAAGUUAAAAAGUUUAAGUAAAACUAUCUUUUAAGGUCUAUGUUAAUCAAGGGCAACGUAUAUUGUACUUCUUGUCGAUAGAUAUACGUAUGUACCUAAUACCUAUGCCGUACCAAAAUUGUUUACUGUAUUAUAUUACUCUCUAUUAAACCGAUAUUUCACACUACACAACACUACCAGGCCCUGAUUUACGCAUGUGCAGGCGGUGCACUAGCACAGGGCUCCCAAAUGUGAAGGGGGGCCCUUCCCAUUUAACACUUUGCUACUAUAAAUAAAAGAUAUUUUAAUAAGAUUUAGUAGCUAUAACCUAUUUAAGGAGGGCGCAGCUAUGCAGCUGCUGUAUAGAAAUAUUGUGUUAUUACUUAUCAUUCCAAAUAUUUCAUUUGUAUAAUGUGAAUAAUGUGAUUACCUAUUUACAGGCACGAAGUAAUUUCAAUUUAUUGUAGUAAUUUGUUAUUUAUAAUGUCAUCCAAAAGAAAAUUAUUCUUCUCGAUAUGAGAAAGUUAAAAAAACAAACGUGAGAAGAAAAAAAAAGUUGACCGGUUCACUAACAAAAUUUCUUUGCAGCUCUUCCUCUAGAACUGUGGUGCCCAAAAAUAAAACAGAAGAUUUUGAUGUAUCAAUCAAUAUCGACAUAUUUGACAGUAAUACCAAUGAUCCUGAAGCUGAAGCACUAAUAGAUUAUGCAAAUGACAAUAAAAAUACCUAUAUCAUAGAUGUUGACAUGUUGUCAAUAUUUAAAAUAUUAGUGAUCAACCUGAUGAGACUGGGGAUGACAAUAAUUCAAAUUAUGAAAAUAAAAAUAAAUUAGCAAAUUGUAAGUUCACUAUUACUCAUACAUACUAUACUUUAGUUAUAACCAAUUACCAUUAAAUGUUACCUAAUGAAUUUAUGUUCUUUGUCAUAUCUUAUUUGAUCCAUGUAUUGUGAUUAAUUAUUUUUACUCUAAGUGUUUUAAUGGUUUUGUUUUAUUUGUUAUUGUAUCUUAUGAAUGAUAUAAAUGUGCUUUAAAAAUGUAUAAUUAACCUAACACAAUUAUUCUAAUAUAAUAUUUGGUCAAAUGUUGUAUUGUAUUAAUUUAAAAACUCUUAAUAUAUUGUCAUGUUAUUUGCUUAUUUGAAGUUGUAUUAUUAUUGUUGUGUACUAAUAAAUUACCUUUUGUGUGUAAAAUGUAUUGACAUGUAUAAUAUGUCUUAAAUGUUCCAUUUAUUGAAAAAUACAAAUUCAGUAUAAAUUAUCAAUGCCGCGCACAAACUGUAGUAGUGAACGUUCAUUCUCUGUACUCAAAUAUAUAAAAAUCGAAUGAGCUCUACUUUAACACCAGAAAAACUGGACUCUUUAUCAUAACUGGCAAUCACCCAUGAUGUUACUAAACAGCACGGAUAUAGAUACUAUGGUUGCACGUCGGCCUAUAUUGGAUCACAGCGUUGAGCGGCGCCGAAUGUUCUUAUCAAAUCUGACGAAAAGUCGCGUUUUACUAGCGCCCUCUACAGUAAGAACUCUUAUACCAUGUUACCCUAACUUUACAAACAUAUUUAUAAUUUAUAUAAUCGCGGGUAUAUGAUAUACCAGGUCAUAGAGGGCGCUAGUAUCACGCGACUUUUUUUAAAUUCUUGAUAAGAACAUUCAGAGCCGUCAUAUCCGUGCUCGUUGUGCAACCAUAGUAUCUAUAUCCGUGCUAAACAGUUAACAUUUGAAGACGUAAUUGCUGACUUUGCAAAAAAAAAACAAGAAAAAAAUAUUUUGUUAAAAAGGCCCACAAAGUUUAUAGUGCACAGCGGCCCUAUUUCACUAAAUCAGUGCCUGGACACUACACAUAAUAUUAUAAUUAAUACAAUUACGUCAAAAUGACCUUGGAAAAUUGAAAACACUAUCAAGAUUACUGAUUUUAUGUUUUUUAUAAUACUUAACAAAUUAAAUUUUAACUCAUUUAAGGUUCUUGAUGGCCAUGCUGAUGAGGCGCAAUUAGGUGUAUUGUGUGUAAAAAGUUCUUCUUUGUUUUUACAUUAUUAUACAUUUACUUAUACAUUACGCACAUACUAUUAUCUUAUUUUUUGUUUAUAAUUUUCAAUCGCUUUUUAAACACUCACACAGUGUAGUAGAACAUGAGCUAUGACUGUAAAAUGGUUUAGGACUAAAUAAUAAUAUGAGUACACUAUACUCAGUUUAGGUACAAUUUUUUUAAAAUAAGCUAAAAUGAAUCUGUAACCGACCAGGAUACAAAAAACAGGAGGUCUGUAGAGGUACAAAUAGUUGUGUAAGUACAAGUUAAAAUACGAAUAAUAGAUUAAUAAUGGACUUCGGGCAC